GGGUUUGAUCCUGGCUCAGGAUGAACGCUGGCGGCGUGCUUAAUACAUGCAAGUCGAACGGGCCGAGUUCAGCGGGAGACCUUGGAGGCCCUGGCGUACGAGAAAUCGUACAAGGGGGUUGAUGAGGUGGACCAACGAAUACUUGGUCAGUGGCGGACGGGUGAGUAACACGUAGGUAAUCUACCUCAAGGUGGGGGACAACUGAUCGAAAGGUCAGCUAAUACCGCAUAAGAUCCUUCGGGAUGAAAGGUUUCGAUCGCCUUGAGAUGAGCCUGCGGCCGAUUAGCUAGUUGGCAGGGUAAAAGCCUACCAAGGCGACGAUCGGUAGCUGGUCUGAGAGGAUGAUCAGCCACACUGGAACUGGAACACGGUCCAGACUCCUACGGGGGGCAGCAGUAAGGAAUAUUGCACAAUGGGGGAAACCCUGAUGCAGCAACGCCGCGUGAGCGAAGAAGGCCUUCGGGUUGUAAAGCUCUUUUCUGUGGGACGAGGAAGGACGGUACCACAGGAACAAGUCUCGGCUAACUACGUGCCAGCAGCCGCGGUAACACGUAGGAGACGAGCGUUAUCCGGAUUCACUGGGCGUAAAGGGCAAGUAGGCGGUUGCUCAAGUUGGGCGUGACAAUCUCUGGCUUAACUAGGGAAGGACGUUCAAAACUAGGCAACUUGAGGGCAGGAGAGGAAAGCGGAAUUCCUAGUGUAGCGGUGGAAUGCUCAGAUACUAGGAGGAACACCGGUGGCGAAGGCGGCUUUCUGGUCUGCACCUGACGCUGAGAGGCGAAAGCUAGGGUAGCGAACGGGCUUAGAUACCCCGGUAGUCCUAGCUGUAAACGUUGGAUACUAGGUAAUGGUGGUCAAGGCCAUCAGUGCCGAAGCAAACGCGUUAAGUAUCCCGCCUGGGGACUACGGCCGCAAGGU
rnacentral:rRNA from 1 species